rnacentral:rRNA from 1 species
AGUGAACGCUGGCGGCAGGCCUAACACAUGCAAGUCGAACGGCAGCACAGGAGAGCUUGCUCUCUGGGUGGCGAGUGGCGGACGGGUGAGGAUAGCGUCGGAAUCUGCCUAUUUGUGGGGGAUAACCUCGGGAAACCGGGACUAAUACCGCCUACGACCUACGGGUGAAAGCGGAGGACCUUCGGGCUUCGCGCAGAUAGAUGAGACGACGUCGGAUUAGCUAGUUGGCGGGGUAAUGGCCCACCAAGGCGACGAUCCGUAGCUGGUCUGAGAGGAUGAUCAGCCACACUGGAACUGAGACACGGUCCAGACUCCUACGGGAGGCAGCAGUGGGGAAUAUUGGACAAUGGGCGCAAGCCUGAUCCAGCCAUGCCGCGUGGGUGAAGAAGGCCUUCGGGUUGUAAAGCCCUUUUGUUGGGAAAGAAAAGGAGCCGGUUAAUACCCGGUUGUCAUGACGGUACCCAAAGAAUAAGCACCGGCUAACUUCGUGCCAGCCGCCGCAGUAA